rnacentral:rRNA from 1 species
UACGGGGGGAGCAAGCGUUGUUCGGAUUUACUGGGCGUAAAGAGCUCGUAGGCGGUUUGUCGCGUCUGCCGUGAAAGUCCGGGGCUCAACUCCGGAUCUGCGGUGGGUACGGGCAGACUAGAGUGAUGUAGGGGAGACUGGAAUUCCCGGUGUAGCGGUGAAAUGCGCAGAUAUCGGGAGGAACACCAGUAGCGAAGGCGACUACCUGGCCUGUUUCUUGACGCUGAGGCGCGAAAGCUAGGGGAGCAAACGGG